GACAGAGGGUGCAAACGUUGUUCGGAAUUACUGGGCGUAAAGCGCGUGUAGGCGGCUAAGUAAGUCGGGCGUGAAAUCCCACGGCUCAACCGUGGAAGUGCACUCGAAACUGCAUAGCUAGAGUCCUGGAGAGGAAGGUGGAAUGCUUGGUGUAGAGGUGAAAUUCGUAGAUAUCAAGCGGAACACCGGUGGCGAAGGCGGCCUUCUGGACAGUGACUGACGCUGAGACGGCGAAAGCGUGGGGAGCAACAGGAUUAAG
rnacentral:rRNA from 1 species